ACUUGGUCAUCACCGUCGCCUUUCAUCAGACACUAUAAACUCGAUACCUAUGCAUCGGCAGAAGCCUCCUUCGGUAGACGAGUUUUGCAAAGUGUACACGACAACCCAUGACUCAUCGGCCUAUCUUCACCCUCCCGGACAAUCACCUAGCUUUGGAAGACACGUAGAGUCUGAGCAGCUUCCUCGCCAAAAACUGGAGAGACAACAGGAUAAGGCGGGGCUUGAAACAGAUUAAAGACUCGGUCCUACAAGCUUGACACAAGAGUUAACCCAUGCCUGACUGCCGUUUUCCUCCUUGCUGAGAAAGGACGUCUCAGG